UCCUCCUUUUGUCCAAUAGUUGUCAAUGUCUAUGUGUUACAGGUUUUUAUAAGCAAAUAGCUUAUAGUUGUAUUUUUUACUAUCUCAGUUCAUUUAUGGGGUUUGGAAUGAAAGGGCUCAUAAGCUUAAAUUUCAGCUAUAACUGUUCUGCCUGUUUAGGAACUUGGAGCCAGACAGGCCUGCUCAUUAAUGAGAUGCAGCUGAGGGGGCAGGGGCAGGUGUUCCCUAUAAGGAGUCAGGCUGUCAUUAAGGAAGGAGAAGCAAGAGUUAUAUGGAAGGGGAAACUAGGAAUUUGCUGUGGAAAAAGGGACCUUGUGGGAGAUAGUACUCAGCUAAAACUGCCACCUGUUCUAGCUCUGACUGAGAUGGAUACAACUGCCUAGAUAGAAAAUGGGUAACAUUCACUUCCAGUCAGUGGAGAACCUAGAAGAGGCUCCGUCCAACUUACCCAUGUUCUUUAUCAUUGGAGGUGGAUCUGUAGGAGUGAUUUGAAUGACAACCACUUGGACCAGGAAAUGAAGGAAAUCCAUAUUCGAAAGAAACUACUGAGGCCAUCUGGGAGGAGCAGAGCGCUAUGAAACACUGAUGGUUCAAACACUGUUUAAUUAAAAUCCUUAAUAGAAUCACAGUCUGUUCUGCUGUGUUGUGAAAUGCAAAUGUAAUCAAAAGCACUUUUUGUAUUACAACAAAUGUGAGGCAGGUUUUUUUCUUGAUAUGGUUUUAGUAUAUUGUAAACUUGUUCAGAGUUUUUGUUGAGACAAAACAAAAUACAUUUCUCAGAUGUGUUAUACAGAAAAAGUUUAUUUUAAAGGUUUAAAAACAUCAUCUGGAAAGAGUGCAAAUUUGGGCUGCAAGGGAAUCUGACCUCUGAUUAAAUAAGACUACAAACGCCGCUGAUGUUAAUAGCCAUUAUAUACUCUCUCAGACCUUGGGUAGACUGAAGCAACUCGACAAAUGUUUGCUUGAUGAUUUAGCUUGCUGGGGUUUUUAUUUUUAUUUAGUGUGGAUAAAUUAGCUGCAGUCUAUGUGGCUAGUGUUUUGUUUAAAGCCUUUGUUUUUAUUAACAUGGGGCUCUCUUCUAAUAUAUGUUUAUUGAGCUUGCGAAUUGGAAGUGCUCCUGCUGAAUAAAGUAUAAGGUGUUGAUUUGUCAACA